AUGGGAGUCCUCAAGGUUCGAAGCCUACUAUGCUUGCUAUUUAUCAUGCUAAUCCUCUUGGUUCCUGGCUCUGAUGCCAAGACUUGCAAGGAGGCUAGCGAGAGAUAUACCAAAGAUUGCAGUGAUUAUCCAUGUGUUUCGGCCUGCCACAAGGAGGGAUUUGUUGAUGGGAAGUGUGAGAUGCUCUGGGCAAGACCCGUUAUUCUCAGAUGUUUCUGCAUAUCGAAUUCUUGCUGA
rnacentral:rRNA from 1 species